rnacentral:misc_RNA from 1 species
CCUAUUUGCUCUCUCUCCCACACUCGUCCACGACAUCGUAUGCUAAUCCCUAGCCACCCACUGCUUAAACCCCAAUUCGCAACCGCGCACAGCUACUGUGAGGACAGACGGACGGACAGACCACCUCUUAAACCCUUGUCCCUUAUUUCUUCUCUAAAUCGUUAAAUUUUCCGUUUGCUAGCCGUGAUGGAAGCAGAUGAAGAAAAUUCAGAGCC